CUUGGGCUCUGUGUUGAUAUCGGUGCACUAACAUGCGGGCAUAUUAUGAAGCUUCGGAUUAAGGUAGAUGAGGAGAUCAGUAAGACUGUUGAUACUCGCUUCAAGACCAUGGCGUAUCAGAUGAAAGUGGGAAGUGGCAUGAAGGAGCAAUGACCACUCUUAUGGACACCAUAGUAUUCAUCGAUUGGAUGACCAAAAAACCUCAGCUGCAAAUGAAGUUCAUAUAUUUUGAUGCCCAUAAGAAAAGAUUUUUAUAUUGAGAUGCAGUAUGGGUAUCAAGAAGUCAGAGUUGAUAAUUUUUUUCACACAACUCUCAUAUUUGGAUUGUUUGUUUUCAAUAUCUCUUAUUCAAAUGGAUGUGCAUUUGCAUAACAAAAUGCACAUAUCAGUAGCAACUUGGUAUAAAAUGCUUGAUCUUUGUUUUUUU